GACGAACCGUCCAAACGUUGUUCGGAAUCACUGGGCUUAAAGGGCGCGUAGGCGGGUCAUCAAGUCGGGGGUGAAAUCUUUCAGCUCAACUGGAAAAGAGCUUCCGAUACUGGUGGUCUCGAGGGAGGUAGGGGUCGAUGGAACUUCCGGUGGAGCGGUGAAAUGCGUAGAUAUCGGAAGGAACGCCGGUGGCGAAAGCGAUCGACUGGACCUUUUCUGACGCUGAGGCGCGAAAGCCAGGGGAGCAAACGGG
rnacentral:rRNA from 1 species